GGCCGACUAGCUCAGCUGGUUAGAGCGUUGUGCUAAUAUAUGUGCGCGCGGACAUAUUAACGCAAAGGUCUUGGGUUCGAUCCCCACGUUGGCCA